GCCGCGGGAGCCACAGCACGCCCCUGGGACGCCCGCCCCGGCUUCCUGCUCCGGGCCGCAGCCAGCUCCCUCCCGGGGCAGGAGAUCGCAGGCCGGGCCCAGGCCCGGCACCCGCAGAGGCUGAGCUGCACAGCCGAGAGGCAGGAUGGUAUCAGAUAGAAAUGAGCUGGCGCAGCCAUGACAAGAAAACAAACAGCAGCAGCACCAUGCGGGAGGGAGGACAGUCACCUGCCGGAGCAGAGAGAGGGGGACCGCCAUCAUACAUGUGACCUUUACUGACCAAAUGCUGACCAUGAUCUGGUGCGUGACUAUAUUACUCAAUAGAAGAAGCCAGAAUGUCAACAGUGCCUUUCAUGUUUGGUUCAAGAUGAGCAUGAGAAGACUGACCAGCAAAAGGCUAGUCCGGUGACGUGUAAGUGGUUGACUGCCAACCCCAAGCAGUGCACAACCAAAUGUUCAGGAAUUUGAAAAUGUGUCAUGAGUGCCAAAAAGAAUCUGAAACAUUAGAACCGUGACUAAUCCCAUGGUAUGGGCUAAAACCAUGUGUCCAAGAGCAACAGUGUUAGGACUGAUGAAGAAGAGCCUAGAAAAUGGGAAGACUUUGGUAAGCAUGUGGCAGAUGUCCUGCAGAUUCACGUUCUGGAGUGACAACAGUCUUUCAGUUUCUCACACCAGGAAGACAACAUAACUUUUACUUUAGAAGGAUGAUCUGGGAAGGUUUCUCUGGGGAGAAGAAUUGCUGUUGUCAGCUCUCAGCAGCCGAAGAGGUCGCCUCUGGAGUGACUGGGGACUUCUGCAAGAGAAGCCCUGCAUCGGGGUCUCACCAUGCAGUUCAGGCUGGACUUGAGUCACUUUGU